rnacentral:rRNA from 1 species
GUCCACGCCCUAAACGAUGAUCACUCGAUGUGUGCGAUACACUGUACGCGUCUGAGCGAAAGCAUUAAGUGAUCCACCUGGGGAGUACGACCGCAAGGUUGAAACUCAAAGGAAUUGACGGGGGCCCGCACAAGCGGAGGAGCAUGUGGUUUAAUUCGAUGAUACGCGAGGAACCUUACCAGGGCUUGAAAGUUAGUGAAGGAUGUGGAAACAUGUCCGUCAGCAAUGACACGAAACUAGGUGCUGCAUGGCUGUCGU